UACGUAGGUGGCAAGCGUUGUCCGGAUUUACUGGGUGUAAAGGGCGUGUAGCCGGGCUGACAAGUCAGAUGUGAAAUCCGGGGGCCCAACCCCCGAACUGCAUUUGAAACUGUUGGUCUUGAGUAUCGGAGAGGCAGGCGGAAUUCCUAGUGUAGCGGUGAAAUGCGUAGAUAUUAGGAGGAACACCAGUGGCGAAGGCGGCCUGCUGGACGACAACUGACGGUGAGGCGCGAAAGCGUGGGGAGCAAACAGG
rnacentral:rRNA from 1 species